rnacentral:rRNA from 1 species
CCAGGCUAGACCAGAGAGUUAAGCACAGCAUUGCAAUUUAUGAAGCAAAGCAGGUUCAGGCUUGGUCAGUUCUUGGAUGGGAGACCACCAAGGAAACCGAUGGAUCUCCUGGU